rnacentral:lncRNA from 1 species
ACUUUUAUUUUAUUUUAUUUUUGGUAGUGCUGGGGAUCAAACAGGGCCUUGAGCACAUGCUGGGCAAAUGCUUUACCACUGAGCGCUAUCCCCAACCCAAUAGUUAACUUUUAUUGAAUUCUUACUAUAUGCUAGACACUACCACACUUUUAUGUGCAUCAUCUUGUUUAACCCUUAAAAUAGACUUAUAAGGGAGAGUUUAAUAUUGUUUUCUUUAAUUAAUGAAUGAGGAAUCUAGUUAGAGCUAAGACUCAGACCUAGGUCAAUAUCACUGUAGAGCCCAUGUCCUUACUAUAAGCCCAUGUCCUUAAUACUAAUCUUUUUAGUAUUAUGAAUAAUUCUUCCAUGAAAACAUAGUUGCAGUAAUACAGCUACUGCUGCAUCCUCAAAUAGGAAAUUUUCCAUCCCUAGGCUGUGAGUGGUUCCUUAUAUCUUCUUUUUUUUUUUCCUUAUAUCUUCUUAUAUUUUUAUAUUUUCAGUUUCUGCUUAUUGGAUAGAUCUUCAGAAAAUUUGGAUUCAUACUUGGAGAACUACAUUCAUAUCCGAGUGUGACUCCUUUGUAAUUUAUUACUUCAUUUCUAUAAAAUUUAUUUCUAUCUAGUCUAUUUUCAGGAUACUAAUGUGAAUAUAACUUAGUUUCUGCUCUCAAGGAUCUCGUAAUCUAGACCAUAAAACAAUAUAACAUUAAAGUACUUUAUGUCAGCAGUAGAGUAAUUGAACUAUGUGCAAUCUAUAGUUGAGGUGCCAGAUCAACCCUAUCUAGAAACAACUGCAAGGAAGUGUAAUUUCAAAACAGGUUGGUUAGGCAGACUUAAGAGGAGUAUGGAGAAAGUCCUAAUAAUAGGUUUAGUUAACUAUUUUUUUCUAUUCUGAUUGUUCCUUUUUUUAAAUUUAAGAAAGUCUGAUAGUAUAUCUUUGCAUAAAAUAAAAGCUUUUUUAGGGAUUUUUACAUACACACAGGAAUGUUAUUGAACCAUUUAAAAAAAAAAAAGAAUGAAAUCCUAUAAUUUGUAGCAAAAAUAGAUGUAACUAGAGGACAUUGUUAAGUAAGCCAGACCAAAAAAGAUAAGUACCGCAUGUUCUCUCUUACGUGGAAGUUUUAAAAAGUUGACUUGAGUGUAGAAUACUGAUAAUUAUCAUUUGGAAAGAGGUGAGGGAUAAAGAGAGACUACAUUUGAUCAGUGCUCAUCAUAUAUAUGUGUUGAACUAUCAUUCCAUUAAUAUGUACAAUUAAUACAUUAAUAAAAAUAAAUAAAAGGAAAUAAGGUCAAAUUGUCUUUAUUUGGCCAUAUCAUCAUACAUAGAAAUUUUAUAGCUUUGCCAUUGAGGUCAUCAGCGAUUAUAUAUCACAUUUAUU